rnacentral:rRNA from 1 species
UACGAAGGGGGCGAGCGUUGUUCGGAAUUACUGGGCGUAAAGGGCGUCUAGGUGGUUUUGUUAGUUGGAUGUGAAAGCCCUCGGCUCAACCGAGGAAUUGCAUCCAAAACUGCAUUACUAGAGUGUGAAAGGGGAAGGCGGAAUUCCAAGUGUAGCGGUGAAAUGCGUAGAUAUUUGGAGGAACACCGGUGGCGAAGGCGGCCUUCUGGUUCAACACUGACACUAAAGCGCGAAGGCUAGGGGAGCGAACAGG